AUUGAACGCUGGCGGCAGGCCUAAAACAUGCAAGUCGAGCGAGCGGCGGACGGGUGAGUAAUGUAUGGAGACUGCACGAAAGAGGGGGAUAACUACUGGAAACGGUGGCUAAUACCGAAUACUAUCGGAUAACCCAUAUGGGAUUAGCUAUUAGGUGGGGUAAAGGCUCACCUAGGGGACGAUCUCGAGCUGGUCUGAGAGGAUGAUCAUCCACACUGGGACUGAGACACGGCCCAGACUCCUACGGUGGCAGCAGUGGGGAAUAUUGCACAAGUGGCGCAAGCCUGAUGCAGCCAUGCCGCGUGUAUGAAGAAGGCCUUAGGGUUUUAAAGUACUUUCAGCGGGGAGGCGUUACCCGCAGAAGAAGCACCGGCUAACUCCGUGCCAGCAGCCGCGGUAAUAC
rnacentral:rRNA from 1 species